rnacentral:rRNA from 1 species
AGAGUUUGAUCCUGGCUCAGAUUGAACGCUGGCGGCAUGCCUUACACAUGCAAGUCGAACGGUAGAGGGGCAACCCUUGAGAGUGGCGAACGGGUGAGUAAUAUAUCGGAACGUGCCCAGUCGUGGGGGAUAACGCAGCGAAAGCUGCGCUAAUACCGCAUACGAUCUAUGGAUGAAAGCGGGGGAUCGCAAGACCUCGCGCGAUUGGAGCGGCCGAUAUCAGAUUAGGUAGUUGGUAGGGUAAAAGCCUACCAAGCCGACGAUCUGUAGCUGGUCUGAGAGGACGACCAGCCACACUGGGACUGAGACACGGCCCAGACUCCUACGGGAGGCAGCAGUGGGGAAUUUUGGACAAUGGGCGCAAGCCUGAUCCAGCAAUGCCGCGUGCAGGACGAAGGCCUUCGGGUUGUAAACUGCUUUUGUACGGAACGAAACGGUCUGGGUUAAUACCCUGGGCUAAUGACGGUACCGUAAGAAUAAGCACCGGCUAACUACGUGCCAGCCGCCGCGGUNANAC